GAUGCCUUGGCACUAGGAGCCGAUGAAGGACGGGACUAACACCGAUAUGCUUCGGGGAGCUGUAAGUAAGCUUUGAUCCGGAGAUUUCCGAAUGGGGGAACCCAGCAUCUUUUGUAGGAUGUUACCUUUAAGUAAAUUCAUAGCUUAUUGGAGGUAGACGCAGAGAACUGAAACAUCUAAGUACCUGCAGGAAGAGAAAGAAAAUUCGAUUCCCUGAGUAGCGGCGAGCGAAACGGGAACAGCCCAAACCAACAAGCUUGCUUGUUGGGGUUGUAGGACACUCUAUACGGAGUUACAAAAGAACAUGUUAGACGAAUCAUCUGGAAAGAUGAAUCAAAGAAGGUAAUAAUCCUGUAGUCGAAAACAUAUUCUCUCUUGAGUGGAUCCUGAGUACGACGGAGCACGUGAAAUUCCGUCGGAAUCUGGGAGGACCAUCUCCUAAGGCUAAAUACUCUCUAGUGACCGAUAGUGAACCAGUACCGUGAGGGAAAGGUGAAAAGUACCCCGGAAGGGGAGUGAAAGAGAACUUGAAACCGUGUGCUUACAAGUAGUCAGAGCCCGUUAAUGGGUGAUGGCGUGCCUUUUGUAGAAUGAACCGGCGAGUUACGAUCUGAUGCAAGGUUAAGCAGCAAAUGUGGAGCCGCAGCGAAAGCGAGUCUGAAUAGGGCGACUAAGUAUGUUGAUGUAGACCCGAAACCAAGUGACCUACCCAUGACCAGGUUGAAGGCGUGGUAAAACACGCUGGAGGACCGAACCCACGCAAGUUGAAAAUUGCGGGGAUGAGUUGUGGGUAGCGGUGAAAUUCCAAACGAACUUGGAGAUAGCUGGUUCUCUCCGAAAUAGCUUUAGGGCUAGCCUCGUUGUGAGUUUACUGGAGGUAGAGCACUGUUUGGACUAGGGGCCCGUCUUGGGUUACUGAAUUCAGAUAAACUCCGAAUACCAUUGAUCUAUACCCGGGAGUCAGACGAUGAGUGAUAAGAUCCACCGUCGAAAGGGAAACAGCCCAGAUCACCAGUUAAGGUCCCAAAAUUCAUGCUAAGUGGAAAAGGAUGUGGAAAUGCAUAGACAACUAGGAUGUUGGCUUAGAAGCAGCCAUUCAUUCAAAGAGUGCGUAAUAGCUCACUAGUCGAGUGAUUCUGCGCCGAAAAUGUACCGGGGCUAAGCAUGAUACCGAAACUGUGGAUGCAUCGUAAGAUGUGUGGUAGGAGAGCGUUGUAAGAGCAUUGAAGCUGUACCGUGAGGAGCAGUGGAGUUCUUAGAAGUGAGAAUGCCGGUAUGAGUAACGAAAGACCAGUGAGAAUCUGGUCGGCCGCAAGACUAAGGUUUCCUGGGGAAGGCUCGUCCUCCCAGGGUUAGUCGGGGCCUAAGAUGAGACCGAGAGGUGUAAUCGAUGGAUAACAGGUUGAUAUUCCUGUACUAGUUUAUUUUGUUUGAACGAUGGAAGGACGCAGGAGGAUGAUGUGUGCGCGCUGAUGGAUAUGCGCGUCCAAGCAGUAAGUCUUGAUAUGAGUCAAAUGCUUAUAUCUUUAAGGACAAGCUGUGAUGGGGAGUGAAAUUUUAGUAACGAAGCACAAUAACUCACACUGCCAAGAAAAGUUCCUAGUUAGAAAUAAACUACCCGUACCGCAAACCGACACAGGUAGUCGAGGAGAGUAUCCUAAGGUCAGCGAGUGAACUCUCGUUAAGGAACUCGGCAAAAUGACCCCGUAACUUCGGGAGAAGGGGUGCUGGUGUAACAGCCAGCCGCAGUGAAUAGGCCCAAACAACUGUUUAUCAAAAACACAGGUCUAUGCUAAAUCGUAAGAUGACGUAUAUGGGCUGACGCCUGCCCGGUGCUGGAAGGUUAAGAGGAUCAGUUAGCUUUUGCGAAGCUGAGAAUUGAAGCCCCAGUAAACGGCGGCCGUAACUAUAACGGUCCUAAGGUAGCGAAAUUCCUUGUCGGGUAAGUUCCGACCCGCACGAAAGGCGUAAUGAUUUGGG
rnacentral:rRNA from 1 species